GCCGAGCUAGCUCAGUGGUAGAGCAACUGUUUUGUAAACAGUAGGUCGUCGGUCCGAUCCCGACUCUCGGCU
rnacentral:tRNA from 1 species